CACCCAAACCUGCAAACCCUAGACCACAACACAGCAGUACAGCACGGCGACGGGAGGAGGCGUGCGGCGGCGUGACGUGCGGCGGCCGGCGGGGGCUGCGUGCAGCGUGCGGCGGCCGGCGGCGGGAGCCGUGGCGGCGUGUGGCGCGGCCGCGGCGUGCAACGGCGCGGGCGCGGCGGCGGCGACGGCGACCGGUGAGGCGGUGAGCCGCCAAGGCCAAGGCGCCAAGCCCGUGACCGGCAGGCGCACCGUGACCGACGGGCGACGGCGUGCCGCGUGCGGCAGCCGGCGCGGCAGCCUGCAGGGGCCCAGGAGGCAGCCAGGCAGGAGGCUGCUCCAGGCCGUCAGCCGAGCAGGAGCAGGCGCUGCACAGCUGCAGCCUGCAAGUCGGCGUCCGCCGUUCCGCGCCGAGGCCCGAGGCAGCCGGCGGCUGCGCGCUGCCGCUGCGGCCGUGCGGCAUCCUGCUCGCCGGCGACUGCCUGACCUGCAAAUUCCGGAUAAGCACAUUAGCACACUAAGGACAAGGACAUCAUCAAUUAUUUCCAAAAUAUCAAGCGUCGAAAAGUUAAUAUCUAAAUUGUAAGUUUUCUUCCUAACUUAUUAUUCUCUAUCAUUUUUGUAUUCCAUAUUUUGACACUUUGAUAUGUUUGGUAUUAGUAUUUCUAUAAGUUAAACAAUUUCUAGUGAUGAUCAAUUCUAUCACUGUGUGAACUAAUGAUCAAUUUUAUUCUAUACGCUCUAAAUUAUAAUUAUUAGUGUAUCAUAAUAUACAAGCCUAUUUUUUGGCUUUUUGGUGUAUGGACAUUUUUUUACCCCUUCCCAUUUCGAAUACCCAAGUUUAAAAAGCUGGGCCCGCCACUGUAACUAUGAACUUUUGGCAAAUUCCAUGUGAAAUGUUCAUGGUAUGUUGUUAGCCUGUGAUUUA